ensembl:piRNA 21ur-7703 ncRNA
UGACCCGCAAUGAUUUCUCCA